CUGCACAGGAGCCCACCCUGGACUCCCAGCUCAGCCCACUCAGGGAUCAGGACUGAACACAGCUGCUCACCAUGGAGAGUGUGCUCAGCUGGGUUUUCCUGGUGGCUGUUUUCAAAGGUGUCCAGUGUGAGGUGCAGCUGGUGGAGACUGGGGGAGGCCUGAUGCAGCCUGGGGGUUCCCUGCGACUCACCUGUGUAGCGUCUGGAUUCACCUUCAGUGACUACUACAUGGACUGGGUCCGCCAGGCUCCAGGGAAGGGGCUGGAGUGGGUUGGUCGUAUAAGAAACAAAGCUAAUAGUUAUAGCACAGUAUACGCUUCAUCUGUAAAAGACCGAUUCACCAUCUCCAGAGAGGACACCAAGAACACACUGUACCUGCAAAUGAGCAGUCUGAGAACCGAGGACACAGCCACCUAUUACUGUGUCAGAGACACAGUGAGGGGACCUCAGUGUGAGCCCAGACAGAAACCUCCUGCAGGGUGCCCAGGGCCAGCAGGGGGCGCUCAGCACACAGCAGCUCAGGGACAGCACAGGAGCAGGUGCAGAGGGGGUGGGGCAGAUUUCCUCCAUCUGGGGGCCUCUCCUCUCCAUGAUCCAGCUUUGUAGGAGAGCUCUCUGGAC